rnacentral:rRNA from 1 species
UAGGGAAUAUUAGAAAUGGACGAAAGUCUGAUCUAGCAACACCGCGUGUGCGAAGAAGGCCUUCGGGUUGUAAAGCACUUUUUGGAAGGAUUAGGAAGGAAUGUACUUCCAGAAUAAGUCUCGGCUAACUACGUGCCAGCAGCCGCGAUAACACGUAGGAGGCAAACGUUAUCCGGAUUUACUGGGCGUAAGGCGCGUGUAGGUGGUUCUGUAAGUAGGGCGUGAAAGCUCCUGGCUCAACUGGGAGAGGCCGUUCUAAACUGCAGAGCUAGAGGAUGGUAGAGGGAGGUGGAAUUCCGGGUGUAGCGGUGGAAUGCGCAGAUAUCCGGAGGAACACCAGUGGUGAAAGCGGCCUCCUGGACCAUUCCUGACACUCAGACGCGAAAGCUAGGGUAGCAAACG